rnacentral:rRNA from 1 species
UACGAGGGGUGCAAGCGUUGCUCGGAAUUAUUGGGCGUAAAGGGCAAGUAGGUGGUCUCGUUUGUCUGGGGUGAAAGCCUUGAGCUUAACUCAAGAAGUGCCCCGGAAACGGUGAGACUCGAGUACUGGAGAGGGUCGUGGAAUUCCCGGUGUAGCGGUGAAAUGCGUAGAGAUCGGGAGGAACACCAGAGGCGAAGGCGGCGACCUGGACAGUUACUGACACUCAACUGCGAAAGCGUGGGGAGCAAACAGG